rnacentral:tRNA from 1 species
GAGGGCAUAGGUCAGUGGUGGAGUAUGUGCCUGGUGUGCACAAGGUCCUGGGUUCUCAAUUCCCAGUACCUACA